rnacentral:rRNA from 1 species
CUCGUAGGUGGUUUGUCGCGUUGUUCGUGAAAACUCACAGCUUAACUGUGGGCGUGCGGGCGAUACGGGCAGACUGGAGUACUGCAGGGGAGACUGGAAUUCCUGGUGUAGCGGUGGAAUGCGCAGAUAUCAGGAGGAACACCAGUGGCGAAGGCGGGUCUCUGGGCAGUAACUGACGCUGAGGAGCGAAAGCGUGGGGAGCGAACA